UAACGCGUAAUCAACCUGCCCUUCAGAGGGGGACAACAGUUGGAAACGACUGCUAAUACCGCAUAAGCCCACAGCUCGGCAUCGAGCAGAGGGAAAAGGAGUGAUCCGCUUUGAGAUGGCCUCGCGUCCGAUUAGCUAGUUGGUGAGGUAAUGGCCCACCAAGGCGACGAUCGGUAGCCGGACUGAGAGGUUGAACGGCCACAUUGGGACUGAGACACGGCCCAG
rnacentral:rRNA from 1 species